UGACAGCAACACUUCAAGAAGGCACGGGAAGUAAGCAUACGGGUGGUGCAACUGGAAGUCACAUUUUAAAUAAAUUUCCCAAACGAUUCAUUUCGAGGAUGGGCACGAGUUCACAACUGCAUACAAACUUCAAGGUAAACUAUCACUACGUGCAUAUCCUAACAGCAUACAAACGGCAUUUGUUUGAGUAAUUACAUUUUGUAUACAUUUCUACUGUAUAUAGCUAAUCUUACUA